GCUUGUCUCAAAGAUUAAGCCAUGCAUGUCUAAGUAUAAACAACUUUAUACUGUAAAACUGCGAACGGCUCAUUAUAUCAGCAAUAAUUUAUUUGAUGGUUUCUUACCCCAUGGAUAACUGUGGUAAUUCUAGAGCUAAUACGUGCGUAAAUCCCGACUCCUGGAAGGGACGUAUUUAUUAGAUUUAAGGCCAACCGAGCUUGCUCGUCUCUUGGUGAAUCAUGAUAACUUCACGAAUCGCAUGGCCUCGCGCCGGCGAUAUUUCAUUCAAAUUUCUGCCCUAUCAAUUGGCGAUGGUAGGAUAGAGGCCUACCAUGGUGUUAACGGGUGACGGGGGAUUAGGGUUCGAUUCCGGAGAGGCAGCCUGAGAAACGGCUACCACAUCCAAGGAAGGCAGCAGG
rnacentral:rRNA from 1 species